AACGCACAUUGCGCCCGCCAUCUUGGCGGGCAUGCCUGUCUGAGCGUCAUUUCAACCCCCAAGCACCGCUUGGUGUUGGGGCACUACGGGUGACCGUAGGCCCUGAAAAUUAGUGGCGGACUCGCUGAAGGUCCGGGCGUAGUAGCGAUAUCUCGCCCGCGGUCCCCAGCGCGCUCCGGCCGUUAAAACCCCCCAAUCUCACAGAAGGUUGACCUCAGAUCAGGUAGGGAUACCCGCUGAACUUAA
rnacentral:misc_RNA from 1 species